AACGUAGGAGGCGAGCGUUAUCCGGAUUUACUGGGCGUAAAGCGCGUGCAGGCGGUGUGUUAAGUCGUGCGUGAAAGCUCCCUGGCUCAACCGGGAGAGGUCGUGCGAGACUGACACACUGGAGACGGAGAGAGGCAAGUGGAAUUCCGGGUGUAGUGGUGAAAUGCGUAGAUAUCCGGAGGAACACCGGUGGCGAAGGCGACUUGCUGGCUCCGAUCUGACGCUCAGACGCGAAAGCAUGGGGAGCGAACGGG
rnacentral:misc_RNA from 1 species